GAUGCUGUGGCCGAGUGGUUAAGGUGCUCCCCUGCUAAGGGAGUGGGUUUCGUCCCGCGCAAGUUCGAAUCUUGUCAGCAUCG
rnacentral:tRNA from 1 species